CACACCUGGCAAUGGGCAAAGAGUCAGCUCGUUGGUGGUGGUGGUCUUCCAUCAGUCAGAGGCAGAGCAGUGGCAGUCCUUUGCUCAUCCUAGCUUGAUGCCUGGCUUGGUGACCCAAGCUGUUUUAUAGCUGAGACUCAUAA